rnacentral:snRNA from 1 species
UGAAAUGUCCUCCAUUCCACU